rnacentral:rRNA from 1 species
UUAAGCGACUAAGCGUACACGGUGGAUGCCCUGGCAGUCAGAGGCGAUGAAGGACGUGCUAAUAUGCGAUAAGCGUCGGUAAGGUGAUAUGAACCGUUAUAACCGGCGAUUUCCGAAUGGGGAAACCCAGUGUGAUUCGUCACACUAUCAUUAACUGAAUCCAUAGGUUAAUGAGGCGAACCGGGGGAACUGAAACAUCUAAGUACCCCGAGGAAAAGAAAUCAACCGAGAUUCCCCCAGUAGCGGCGAGCGAACGGGGAGCAGCCCAGAGCCUGAAUCAGUGUGUGUGUUAGUGGAAGCGUCUGGAAAGGCGCGCGAUACAGGGUGACAGCCCCGUACACAAAAAUGCACAUACUGUGAGCUCGAUGAGUAGGGCGGGACACGUGGUAUCCUGUCUGAAUAUGGGGGGACCAUCCUCCAAGGCUAAAUACUCCUGACUGACCGAUAGUGAACCAGUACCGUGAGGGAAAGGCGAAAAGAACCCCGGCGAGGGGAGUGAAAAAGAACCUGAAACCGUGUACGUACAAGCAGUGGGAGCACAGAGCAAUCUGUGUGACUGCGUACCUUUUGUAUAAUGGGUCAGCGACUUAUAUUCUGUAGCAAGGUUAACCGAAUAGGGGAGCCGAAGGGAAACCGAGUCUUAACUGGGCGUUAAGUUGCAGGGUAUAGACCCGAAACCCGGUGAUCUAGCCAUGGGCAGGUUGAAGGUUGGGUAACACUAACUGGAGGACCGAACCGACUAAUGUUGAAAAAUUAGCGGAUGACUUGUGGCUGGGGGUGAAAGGCCAAUCAAACCGGGAGAUAGCUGGUUCUCCCCGAAAGCUAUUUAGGUAGCGCCUCGUGAAUUCAUCUCCGGGGGUAGAGCACUGUUUCGGCAAGGGGGUCAUCCCGACUUACCAACCCGAUGCAAACUGCGAAUACCGGAGAAUGUUAUCACGGGAGACACACGGCGGGUGCUAACGUCCGUCGUGAAGAGGGAAACAACCCAGACCGCCAGCUAAGGUCCCAAAGUCAUGGUUAAGUGGGAAACGAUGUGGGAAGGCCCAGACAGCCAGGAUGUUGGCUUAGAAGCAGCCAUCAUUUAAAGAAAGCGUAAUAGCUCACUGGUCGAGUCGGCCUGCGCGGAAGAUGUAACGGGGCUAAACCAUGCACCGAAGCUGCGGCAGCGACGCUGAUGCGUUGUUGGGUAGGGGAGCGUUCUGUAAGCCUGCGAAGGUGUGCUGUGAGGCAUGCUGGAGGUAUCAGAAGUGCGAAUGCUGACAUAAGUAACGAUAAAGCGGGUGAAAAGCCCGCUCGCCGGAAGACCAAGGGUUCCUGUCCAACGUUAAUCGGGGCAGGGUGAGUCGACCCCUAAGGCGAGGCCGAAAGGCGUAGUCGAUGGGAAACAGGUUAAUAUUCCUGUACUUGGUGUUACUGCGAAGGGGGGACGGAGAAGGCUAUGUUGGCCGGGCGACGGUUGUCCCGGUUUAAGCGUGUAGGCUGGUUUUCCAGGCAAAUCCGGAAAAUCAAGGCUGAGGCGUGAUGACGAGGCACUACGGUGCUGAAGCAACAAAUGCCCUGCUUCCAGGAAAAGCCUCUAAGCAUCAGGUAACAUCAAAUCGUACCCCAAACCGACACAGGUGGUCAGGUAGAGAAUACCAAGGCGCUUGAGAGAACUCGGGUGAAGGAACUAGGCAAAAUGGUGCCGUAACUUCGGGAGAAGGCACGCUGAUAUGUAGGUGAAGCGACUUGCUCGUGGAGCUGAAAUCAGUCGAAGAUACCAGCUGGCUGCAACUGUUUAUUAAAAACACAGCACUGUGCAAACACGAAAGUGGACGUAUACGGUGUGACGCCUGCCCGGUGCCGGAAGGUUAAUUGAUGGGGUCAGCGCAAGCGAAGCUCUUGAUCGAAGCCCCGGUAAACGGCGGCCGUAACUAUAACGGUCCUAAGGUAGCGAAAUUCCUUGUCGGGUAAGUUCCGACCUGCACGAAUGGCGUAAUGAUGGCCAGGCUGUCUCCACCCGAGACUCAGUGAAAUUGAACUCGCUGUGAAGAUGCAGUGUACCCGCGGCAAGACGGAAAGACCCCGUGAACCUUUACUAUAGCUUGACACUGAACAUUGAGCCUUGAUGUGUAGGAUAGGUGGGAGGCUUUGAAGUGUGGACGCCAGUCUGCAUGGAGCCGACCUUGAAAUACCACCCUUUAAUGUUUGAUGUUCUAACGUUGACCCGUAAUCCGGGUUGCGGACAGUGUCUGGUGGGUAGUUUGACUGGGGCGGUCUCCUCCUAAAGAGUAACGGAGGAGCACGAAGGUUGGCUAAUCCUGGUCGGACAUCAGGAGGUUAGUGCAAUGGCAUAAGCCAGCUUGACUGCGAGCGUGACGGCGCGAGCAGGUGCGAAAGCAGGUCAUAGUGAUCCGGUGGUUCUGAAUGGAAGGGCCAUCGCUCAACGGAUAAAAGGUACUCCGGGGAUAACAGGCUGAUACCGCCCAAGAGUUCAUAUCGACGGCGGUGUUUGGCACCUCGAUGUCGGCUCAUCACAUCCUGGGGCUGAAGUAGGUCCCAAGGGUAUGGCUGUUCGCCAUUUAAAGUGGUACGCGAGCUGGGUUUAGAACGUCGUGAGACAGUUCGGUCCCUAUCUGCCGUGGGCGCUGGAGAAUUGAGGGGGGCUGCUCCUAGUACGAGAGGACCGGAGUGGACGCAUCACUGGUGUUCGGGUUGUCAUGCCAAUGGCACUGCCCGGUAGCUAAAUGCGGAAGAGAUAAGUGCUGAAAGCAUCUAAGCACGAAACUUGCCCCGAGAUGAGUUCUCCCUGACUUCUUGAGAGUCCUGAAGGAACGUUGAAGACGACGACGUUGAUAGGCCGGGUGUGUAAGCGCAGCGAUGCGUUGAGCUAACCGGUACUAAUGAACCGUGAGGCUUAACCUU